AGCUUCCUCAAUUAGGAUGACUUCUCAAUAGAGUGAAUUGUCCCCCAGAGGCUGUAAAUUGCAUCUGGGAAGGCUCCUCCAUCACCAGCAGCAGCAGCCUCCUUACCUCACACUGUGAAGACUGCACAAGCCCCUUCAACCUCUACUGCUCAGCAAAGGAGCAGCUGGUUAGCACUUCCUUUCCUUCCAGGCCUCAUCCUGGGUCCUCUUCCGGAGUCCUCCUAGUCCCAUCCUGAACCUCUCUUCACCUGUCUUGCAGCGUUGGUCUGCACAAACACUACUCACAGCUAAGGGUUACAGCUUUACCAUUGUUUUCUGUUGGGGGGGGGGGCUUACUGUUGCCACAGCAACCAGAUAAUCAACGCCUCUAAGGCAAAGGCUGCACUGUAUAUCUUUUCUAUUCUCACUCGAGUGCAACUUUGCUGCUGUCACUAAUCUCCUCCAGAAAAACGAGCUAGAGUUUUGAUUUUUGUUUUUAAGAUUUAUUUAUUUAUUUCGUAUAUGUGAGUACACUGUAGCUGUCUUCAGACAUACCAGAAGAGGGCAUCAGAUACCAUUACAGAUGGUUGUGAGCCACUAUGUGGUUGCUGGGAAUUGAACUCAGGACCUCUGGAAGAGCAGUCAGUGCUCUUAACCGCUGAGCCAUCUCUCCAGCCCCCGAACUAGGUAGGGUCCAGGAAGCUAUGUUGCUAGCACACAGGAUUUGUAGGUGUCAUUCUUCUGGUCACAACAAUUUGAGAAUACGCAAAGUGCCCCAGAUCUACUUUGAAGUCUAGUCAACCCAGAACUUCACUCCCUAUGGGCACCCAGGCACACUGUCCAAAUACUUUAAUAAUGCUACCAGGAGCUGGUAGCAUUCUACAGGACCUGGCUUUGCUUUAUCUUCCUGAUUCCUCACCAUGACUCCUCCUGCAGCCUCUUGGCAACCACCCUCAAACCUCACUCCCCCGUUAUGUGGCCCAUUCAUCCUGCAGGUCUGGGCUGAGAGGCCAUUUUUUUUCCCUGAGCCUUUGUAGCACAGCACUUUCUCCGAGGAGUGCAUCUCCACGGCUCGUCACUCUGUCCAUGUGCCCAUCUCAUGUGGCCACUUCCCUGGGCACAGGUGAGCUGCAUGUGCUGCCUGCAUUCAGCUCUCAACUUGGUACAAAGGAAGCACGAUGACAUGGGGGGCUGACCUUGUAAAACAUUGCACACAUCUGACGAUAGGUAAGCACAUAGAGCAGAAACCAGAGCAUGGUGGGGGAAAAUGUGAGGCUGGUUGAGAUAGCAACAGCUGGGUGGCCUCUGCUUUCCCUACUCUCAACGGCCCUAGGCGCACAGAAGAUGCUCGCCCUUAUCUGGAAAUAUUCAAAAUAGCUUCAACAGGAAGCCCACCGAAGGCGGUGGGGUGGGGUGUGAAUGCCCUGGCAAGGGCAUGCUGGCAUUCGUGACUUCCUCUAGAAGACUCUGCACCAGACCAGUGGGGCAUGACAUAGAGGGCAGAGGGUGAUGUAACACAAGGGACUGAGGCAAACGUUGUUGGGGCAGGACUCAGGCUUCAGUUUCUCAUAGUUUGCUGGCACGCCAACCUCAACCAAACUUACUAAAGGCAAGGCAAGAGUGCAGAGCAUGCUGGGACUAAGCAGAAGAAUGGGCCAAGAAGCUGUUACACAACUGGAUAGAAUGUUUGGGUUAAGGAGACAGAGACGUGCCUUGCUGAAAUGAGCCAGCAAGGUUCUAGAACCCCAAAGGGAUACAAACAAUUGCAUGGUCAUUACUGAUGCUCUCUGAGCCUCUUUCCAGUCCUCCUUAGUAACAGAGCCUUCUUGAAAUGCUAGGCCAUGCUUACCUAGCUAACAGUCUAGUAAAUAUAUAGACCCUAGGUCAGGAGUGCAAAGAGCUGAAGCUGGCUAAAAUCCCGACUCAGGGCUCAGCUCCAUCUCCUGCUUGGCCAUGGAUUUCCAGGGUCAGCUUAUUCUAAGAUCAUUCCAAGAACUUGCUAGGAGGGCUCCAGGCACAUCUACUCAAGCUGGGCACCUGCUGAAAGUGUUUGGAGGUGAUUCUCUGAAGCAGUCACAGUCUUGAACAAGCCUUGUGUACUUGGGAUCUCUAUUCCAGUUACAGCGCUUUUCCGGACAGUGAUAUUGGUGUUGAGAUGAAAUCCUAAAGUAGCUUGAGCUGAGCUCAAUAAUUAGCAGACACCCCAGCAAAGCGAAAGGCUCCCAAGUAUUACCACCCUAGUCUGUAAAAUUCGUUCCCUCUCUUCAGCCCCCAACUCUACAGUGUUCUUUAUUUGGCUUUUAAAAACCAACCAACCAACCAACCAACCAACCAACCAACCAACCAACAUUUAGAAUCAAAAGGGUUUUACUGUAGCCAGAGCAAAUCUGGCUAUAUUUGAUAGCAGCGGGAAGAAACCAGACCCAGCUUCUGCUGGUCCAGAUUAGGAGGAUGCUUUGUUCAUAGGAUAUCCUCUUCCUCUUUCAGCAGUACAGAAAGAACUGUCAGCUAGAUACAUCAAACCUGUCCCCAGGGAUCCCAAGAGAAGAGCUCAAGCCUCUCACUUCCUAUAUCUCAACACCACAUAAAAGUCACUGGUAUGGCAGCUACUGGAGAUACCGUGUCUAGUGAGAAAGGACCCUUUUGACCAGGAAAUGGUUUUGUUGUGUUGUGUUCAGGUAGUAGAUGAUGAUGAUGAUGAUGAUGAUGAUGAUGAUGAUGAUGAUGAUGACAAUGAGGACGACGAUGAUGGUAGUGGUGGUGAUGGUGGUGGUGGUGUGGUGGUGAUGAUGAUGGUAGUGGAGGUAGUGGUGGUAGUGGUGCUAUGGUGGUGGUGGUGUGGUGGUGAUAAUGAUGGUGGUGGCGGUGUGGUGGUGAUGAUUAUGAUGAUGACUAUUAGAGAGAGAUAAUAAUCACCACUCGUUCAGCAUUUACUCUGUUUUACAGCCUUUACGCUUAAUUCAUGUUUGACCCUAAUGACAGCCACCAGGCAGGUUUUACUCCCACAGAACACAUGCAAGUGACGCUUAGGAAAGCUAAAGUCCCCAUAAAACACACGAGUGAAGGAAGCCAUGGAGGUAUAUGGCAACCAUACUCCGUGACCACACUCUGUCCAGCAUGGUGCCUGCCACUUGAAAAUGUUUCUGAUCGAAGCAAAUGCUAUAAAACACGCCCUUGCUGAGUGUGCCGCUCUCCUGGGAGGAGGGGCCAAGCUACCAGCACUAGGGAUGGAACCUAGUACCGUGUGUAGUGGGCAAACGCCCAGCCCUGGAUCCACAACGGCCAUGGACGUCAUUAUUGGUGAGGAAAACUUAGCAGGUGGGGGCCUGGCGAGAUGUCUCUGGGGGAUAUCUUUGAAGGGUACACUUGGGACCUUUCCUCGUUCUCUCUCUCUCUCUCUCUCCCUCCCAACCUCUCUCUCUCUCUCUCUCUCUCUCUCUCUCUCUCUCUCUCUCUCUCUCUCUCUCUCUCUCUCUCUCUCUCUCCCUGUCUCUCUGCUUCCUGGCAAGCUCUGACAGGCACUCUUACCAGCAUGGUGUUUUCCCUCACCACAGGGUCACAGCAAUGAAACAAGCUGACCAUGUACCGAAACAUCUGGAAUCGUGAGCCAAAAUAAACCAAAAUAACCCUUUCCCCCCUUUCCCUUUCUAAGCACUUCUUUCUGAUAUUCCUCAUGGUGGCUAAUAGAAACCAGAGGGCAGGAGGGGCAGUCUUGUGUUUUCCUAGGAGUCCGCUUCUUUUUUUUUUUCCCCUUCAUUUUUUUAUUGGAUAUUUUCUUUAUCUACAUUUCAAAUGUUAUCCCCCUUCCCCAUUUCCCUUCCAGAAAUCCCCUAUCCCAUCCCCCUCUCCCUGCCUCCAUGAGGGUGCUUCCCCCACCCACCCAUCCACUCCCUCCCGCCUCCGGCCCAGGCAUUCCCCUACACUGGGGCAUCGAGCCUUCACAGGACCAAGGGCCUCUCCUCCCACUGAUGCCCGACAAGGCAUGGCUGGAGCUAUGGGUCCCUCCAUGGCUCUUUGGUUGGUAGUUUAGUCCCUGGGAGCUCUGGGGUGUCUGGUUGGUUGGUAUUGUUGUUCUUCCUAUGGGGUUGCAACCCCCAUCUGCUUCGUCAGUCCUUUCUCUAAUUCCUUUACCCGCCCCCCUUCUCAGUUCAAUGGUUUAGGAGCCCAUUUCUUAAAGUGCUCACAUCCACACUCCGUAUACAUGGGCUCUUGACAGCCAUAGUCAAGUUAGACCCACGCUGCAGACCCUCCUUUCUAGUCAUUCCUGUAUCCAACAUGGCAAGGCCAGAGUUGACAGCACAUUCCUGCUGCAGAGUGGUCGGUUCCUGACACUCCCAGAGCCGUCAUGCCAAGUAGCCUGCCAGGACGUUGUGCCUCAGGAGCCUGUGUGCCAUGGUAUCACCAGAAAUCCACCUGGCUAGAGUUUUCCAUGGAUGUCAUAGUGACUCCAAGAACCAUGUAUUCAUCCAAGCGCCAAAACAUUAACUAAGAGAGCAAAACCACUGCAGCCCAGGCAGGACCUCUGACUGAGCACACUCUCUCGUGUUGUUCAAAUACAGCUUUAACCCGUGGAGCUAUCUAAAAGACAGUUCACUGUGACUGACAGACAUAUGCAGGGUCCCCAGCAUUUAUGUCCCGCUCACUGGCUUCUCUCAUUCCACCACAAGCUUCACUUGCAACUCUUGUAGCUUCUUUUCUAGGCAGUAACCGCCCGUAGUCAAAGCUCACUUCCACAGUCUGAGCCUUUCCCAAGCUGAUGGAGUGGUCCUGUCCCCACAGCCAGCUCUCCUUCCCCAUUGGGUUCCAGCUUCCCCGUCUACAGUGCUCUGAGAGCAACAUAAGGUGCUUACUUUGGCUACAUUACUGGUGCCAAACCCUGUCCUCACCCACCAUGCAUCUGCCUCCCACAAUAAGCCAUGUUCUUCUGGGAGACUGAGUAUGCCUUGCUCAUCCCAUUCCUAGCAAGGAGCCAGGCUGUGCUCCCUGCUCACUGUGGGUGAAAGAGAGGAGAGAGCCACAUGGUGAAGGUAAAAGGAGCACAGAGAAAUCCCAAGGAGUGCUGUCCUUCCUCUGCUUUGAAUGUAACUGGUGAGGACCCUCACUGGUCCUAAGCCACUCACUCCAUUAAGUCUGGCCCUGUGGGAUGCCAUGACAUGUUCCCAAAGAGAAAGCUGACUUGUGACUCCAGGAUAACACAAACUAGCAACUAUCAUCUUGGACAAAAGAGUAUCAAGAUUCAAGGCCAAUCUGACUCAUGGGUUCUUUCUGGGGCUAGCACGGAUUUCCAACCAGGUUCAAACAAUACAGACGGCUGUGCCAUCGCACACCCGGAAUCCCAGAGGUGGCAAUUGGAGCAGGGGAUUGAAAGUUUGAGGCCAGCUUAGGCUAAAGAGCGAGGCUCUUUCUCAAAAAGAAAUAAAGAAAUAAAACAAUCAAACCCUGAAAAACAAAACAACAAAACAAAAAAACAACAACAACAAAACAAAACAAAACAACCAAAAAAAAAAAAACUCCUCUGGGCUCAUUUGUGUUUGUGACCACAGUCCCUCUGCCUAAUAUGCUAACCUCACAACCCACCAUAAACACAAAUAGAGUUCCUGUUUUGCGUUAUUUUUAACUGACAAUUAAGUGGGGUUUUUUUUCUUUCUAUUUCUUCCCCUUGAAGAAAACUGCCUGUUAUCCAGUUUUUCAAUUCCUACAUCGGCUCCAGUUUCACUGGUCCAUUUUUAUAAGUUUUCAUGCCCCAAGGGUUAAGUCACAUGCUUCAAAAUGAGUUUUGAAUGAAACUCAUUAUUCAAAACGGAUAAAGAGAAAUGGGGUCAAGUUACAGUAAAACAUAUGGAAUGAAUUCUAGAGUUCUGAAGUGUAAAAGGGUGGCAACAGUUACCAGUGACUAAUUGUGGAUGUCAAAACGGGUAGGGCAGUGACUUUUGACUGUUCACCGAGAUGGCUCUGCAGGUGAUGGCACUUGCUGCCAACGCUGAUGAGUUGAGUUGUAUGCAGGGACCCCAUGUGAUGGAAGGAGAGAACACAGGCCUGUAGAUUAACCUUUAAACUUUACAUGUAUGCAUGUGCACGGGUGUGUGCACACAAUAAAAAUGUAUUAAUUUUGUUAAAAGUCACACUGAACUGGGACAGUAGCACAUGCCUGUAAUCACAACACUUUCAAGGUGGAGGCAGAAUGAUGGUGAGUUGAGGGCAGCCUGGGCUACAUAGCAAGGUUCUGUCUCAAAAGCAACCGACAAAAGUAAUCACACUGUGCAUUUUAAAUGUGCACAGUUAUUUUCUUAGCAACUAAAAUCUUUUUAGUUUUGAAAAGAGACCGCUGCCCUGCCUCAAUCUGGCUACCAAAAUAAUAAUAACGUAUUUAUGCCCCUUUGUUUAGAACAUUAAGGUCAUUAAUUCUAUCAGAGUGGCAACUCAUGUAGUCUCAGUAGAGAAGGAGUUUUUGUGUCAUGCAAUGCUAGAGCUGAGACCAUGAAACACCCAACCCGAUGCUGUGUACACAACUGCAGCAAUCCAUCUCCCGUUUCACAGCGCGAGGCAACCGCCAGUUGUGUAGGUUUGCAUGUAUUGGGAAGUCAUGGUUUCCAGGCACCGAUGCACUCUGAGGCAUCUUUGUCCUGGUCCCCAUGGCCUCUUUCUCUACACAAUAUUUCUUCGGGAAUUAGUGAAUGCCCACUUCAUUGCUGGUCUUUCCCAUUCUUGUGCCAUCAGGUGGACAAGCAAGUGCAAGGGCCAAAACAGAGGCACAUAUGAGAGGCUCCAGGAAAGAGGAACGACUAAGAAGGUGGGAAUCAUCAUGGUUUCCAGGCAGAUGGACAAGCCAAGCCAGUUUCUAGAACCUUCCACUUGCCUUCAAGCUGGUUUCUACAUGUCAGUGCCUCUUCCUCUGUUGAAAUAAACUGAGGAUGGUGCCCUUGGCAAUAAGGCUACAGAUCCUAGUUUUGAAGAGUUGAUGAGUAACUUGGGGGUACAAUGCUUGCUUUGCAGGCAACUGCCUAGAGAUCAAUCCUUAGUGCUGAGUUUAUGUUUUAAAUCUGAAACAAGGCUUUGAACAUGAAGUAGAUCCGUAUUACAAUGGUUCUCAAACUUCCUAAUGCUGGGACCAUUCAAUACCAUUUCUCAUGUUGCGGUGACCCUCAACCAUCAAAUUAUCUUCAUUGUUACUUCAUAACUGUGAUUUUGCUAUUGUUGGGAAUCAUAAUGUAAACAUCUGUGUUUUCCAAUGUUCUUAGGUGACCCUCACAGGGUUCUUAGGUAACGGCUCACAGGUCAAAAGCAGCAGCUUUGUGAGGACGUUAUGGGAGCAAUGGUGGUGAAGGAAUGAGGCUGGACAAGAGUCAGGAGCUGGGAAAUGAGAGUCUGACUUCUCUUCAGUUCCUCCCGAAGACAGAGUAAAGAGAUAACAUUAAUAUCAUAUUGCAUCCGGUGACAUUAUCAAAUACUCUAGGAGCUUCCUAAGGACAUUUCUAUGCUGUACCUUCCAGUUGAUUUAUCACAGAUUAGUCUCCUAGUUACUGAAAGAGGUUGAGAAACACUUGAAUUGAGAUUUGCUCCUUUCCUCAGCUUACUGAUUUCAAAGUUAGACUGUGACUUCAAAUUUAAUACCAAUGGCAAGAGACAUCUCAAGGGCAAUUACUACAUCAUGCAAUGACUUAGGAGUGGCGGUGCAUAUGUGUGAUCCUAGCAUGAGGUAGGUAGAGGCAAGAGUAUCAAGAGUUCAAGGCCACACUCAGAAGAAAGAAAGGUGUACAUUGACAAUAAAGAUGAGUGGAAAGAAGAAAGGAGUUAAAGAAAUCAUUAACUUAUCAGCAAGGCAAGGCAAGGCAAUGGAGGCAAAACACCCGCCAUGACAGGUCAGACAUGAAAUCAUCACAGGAUGAAUGCUGACCACCAGUGCCAAUACAAUACAGGUGAACGUGCUGAUAGAUGGUCUGUAGUCAAGAAACCCUGGGCUAAGUCCUAGCAAUUCCACCCGCAAAUCGAAGUCAACUCACGCAUUUGUAAAACACACUAAGAAGGCCAGUCAAUGCAUCAGAGUUGUUGGGCUCUCAUUGGGUAAGGGAGAUUGCUUCAUUAGCUAGAAGAAGCUAAAGCAGACGUUAAUUGUUGCUAUGAUUCCGUGAUCAUAACAGAUGGGCUUUUACAGCUUUGCUCAGAGAUAACUGUGUUUCUCUGAGUGCAAACUGUGUUUGCUUUUCAGAGGUGCUGAUGCCAAGUAGCAAAAAAAAAAAAAAAAAAAAAAAAAAAUGCUGUGCUUCACUGGGCCAGAAAGACGAAGGGAUUUUAUCUGAUCUUCAAAUUUUGUAUGUUAUUUUCUCCUCAGUUUUACAAGCUUGUGAUUUCACAUCUGGUUGUGUCCCAGGGUGUUCCCAACUAAUUUCUGCCUCUUUUGCUACAUUUUUUUUGUUUUGUUUUUUGUUUUUUUCUUUAUGUAUCUCCUGGGAUUUUGGUGAAGGUAAUAUGCUCAGAAAUGUCAAAUGUCUCCUAAGGCAUCACUUUCCCCUCUAAGCAAAGAAAAGCAUGAAACGGCGUUUAAGUACAAGGAGAAAAGCUGUGAGGAAAUUUGUUCCAGUCAAAAUUCCUUCACCGCUACCCGGUGACCAGGAGCUACAUGGGCUGGAGGGGUGUUGCUGAAGAGCGAGGAUUACACGGGUGCCCCAUAAGCCUUUUCAGAGCUUUCCUGAGACAGGAAGUGAUGAAAUCAGCUCUCACAUGAACUGGGAAGUGGCCAUGUGCAUCAUGGGUUUUCUGUCUCAACUGGACACCCGGGGAGGGCGGGAAAGAGAAAGUAGAGAAGUAGGUCAUGGGGAAGUCCCAACUCUUCCCCUCAUGCUUUUCCUUGUCCUUCUGAUUGUGAGCAGACGCAAUCUCUGCUGUUGACGGUAAUGGUACCCAUGGCGAACAUUUAAUUUUUUCCACUCUUGACCGUAUAUGACAAUGCUAACAGGACAGAGUGACCAUCAACGUAUUAUACACCUGACUCACUGAUUAAAUUAGGACUCAAAUACCGAGUGGAUUCAACCAAUUUCUACCCUAAGAAAUAAGCUGGGGAAAAGAUAUGGGACGCAGGGAUGAAUUAUCUAAGUAUUCAGCCACCAACUAUCUAUCUAGAUUAAUCUCAUUAAUACUCACUGUUCCUGUGCGAUUCUCCACAGAAAAUGGACAAAGUUAACUAGAGGCAAGUGAAAAAUUAAGAGAGGGCUUGAGAAGUAUGAAGACUUAGCCCAGGCUGGCCUCGAACUCAUGAUCCUCCUGCCUCUGCCUCCUUCAGCAAAUCCUACCGGCGUGCGCCACCACAACCGGCGUAUGAAGACUUAAAAAAACACACACAUUGGGCUGGAGAGAUGGCUCAGCAGUUAAGAGCACCCGACUGCUCUUCCAGAGGUCAUGAGUUCAAUUCCCAGCAACCACAUGGUGGCUCACAACCAUCUGUAAAGAGAUCCGAUGCCCUCUUCUGGUGUGUCUGAAGACAGCUACAGUGUACUUAUAUAAAUAAAUGAAUAAAUCUUUAAAAAAAAAAAACACACA